rnacentral:rRNA from 1 species
AGGACGAACGCUGGCGGCGUGCUUAACACAUGCAAGUCGAACGGAAAGGCCCUUCGGGGUACUCGAGUGGCGAACGGGUGAGUAACACGUGGGUGAUCUGCCCUGCACUUCGGGAUAAGCCUGGGAAACUGGGUCUAAUACCGGAUAUGACCAUGGGAUGCAUGUCUUGUGGUGGAAAGCUUUUGCGGUGUGGGAUGGGCCCGCGGCCUAUCAGCUUGUUGGUGGGGUGAUGGCCUACCAAGGCGACGACGGGUAGCCGGCCUGAGAGGGUGUCCGGCCACACUGGGACUGAGAUACGGCCCAGACUCCUACGGGAGGCAGCAGUGGGGAAUAUUGCACAAUGGGCGCAAGCCUGAUGCAGCGACGCCGCGUGGGGAUGACGGCCUUCGGGUUGUAACCCCUUCAGUAGGGACGAAGCGCAGUGACGGUACCUACAGAAGAAGGACCGGCCAACUACGUGCCAGCAGCCGC